UGGGGAAUCUUGCACAAUGGGGGAAACCCUGAUGCAGCGACGCCGCGUGAGCGAUGAAGCCCUUCGGGGUGUAAAGCUCUUUCGGCAGGGAAGAUAGUGACGGUACCUGCAGAAGCAGCUGCGGCUAACUACGUGCCAGCAGCCGCGGUAAUACGUAGGCAGCGAGCGUUGUUCGGAGUUACUGGGCGUAAAGGGUGUGUAGGCGGUUGUUUAAGUUUGGUGUGAAAUCUCCCGGCUCAACUGGGAGGGUGCGCCGAAUACUGAGCGACUAGAGUGCGGGAGAGGAAAGUGGAAUUCCUGGUGUAGCGGUGAAAUGCGUAGAUAUCAGGAGGAACACCGGUGGUGUAGACGGCUUUCUGGACCGUAACUGACGCUGAGAUACGAAAGCGUUGGUAGCAAACAGGAUUAGAUACCCUGGUAGUCCACGCCCUAAACGAUGCAUAUUUGGUGUGGGCAGUUCAUUCUGUCUGUGCCGGAGCUAACGCGUUAAAUAUGCCGCCUGGGGAGUACAGUCGCAAGGCUG
rnacentral:rRNA from 1 species